rnacentral:rRNA from 1 species
CCCUUAGACGCUCUAGGCGGCACGCGCGCUACAAUGGGUGGUAGAACGUGUAACUGCUCCCGAAAGGGGGGGUGAACCACGAAUACUUACCCGUGAAUGGGAUAGUUUGUUGCAAUUUUCGGACUUGAACUAGGAAUCCCUUGUAAGAAUGCUCAAGAAUAGCGUGCUGAAUACGUCCCUGCCGUUUGUACACACCGCCCGUCGUUUCUUCCGACUGAUACUCAUUGUGAGUUGCAAGGAUUCUUAUUGAAAAAUUGCUGCGAAUGCUUUGUAUUGGAGGAAGAAAAAGUCGUAACA